rnacentral:lncRNA from 13 species
UAUGUCUAUUUUCACCACCCUUAUACUUUGCCGCCACAGGACUCGGAAUAUAAACAAAACAUGCAGUCACUUCCCACCAGGAUGUAUCCUUCUGGAUGUCAGCACACGUGCAAGAUGACAAUUUCAGGUUGACUGGUGAUGUCUGGCUUACAAUUGAGUAUGAAGUCUGCACUGUGGCUCAGCUGAGGGCAAGACACAUCCAGUUCACAGACUAGACACCUGGGAAGAAAACAUGGGUAUAGAGUGGAGAAGGAAAGCUGAGCAGCAUCCCAGAAGCACAAGCUGAAGCCCGAAGGGCAGACCGAGCUCAUGUCGGUUCUCAUCGCCUCUGCCUUUGCUUAGGUGGGUGCUCUGCAGAGAACGGGACUCUUAGUGAUGGAGCUAAACACUCAUAUAUCUAGCCCCGGAGUUAAAUAAACUUCAAAAGGAGGCAACUACA